rnacentral:misc_RNA from 1 species
GUGAGACAUGAUUCCUUGGUCUUUCAUUUGUAUUUCUUUAUUUUCUAUCGUUCUAUGAUUCCAUUGUGUUCUGUGAUCAAGGAUAAACUAACCAAGAUAAUCAUGGCUACAUUUGCAUUUGAGCUUUUUUCCUAUCAUUUUUUAAGUUUCCAUUGUCCAGGAUUAGCUUAGUUUAGCUGUCAUCUAUUUCUAUUGACCUUUAAACUGUCGUGUUAUUUUUUCUUAAUUGAUUAAUCUGUUCAAAUACUACCUAGCUAAUAUGAUUUAUGAUUGUUGGGUGUCUUUUUUUUAUUGAUAUUGCAAUUUUAUAUAUGAGUUACAACCAAAAGCUCUCUCUCCCUCCCCCCACUUCCCUCUUCCCACAAUAUAUGAUGUACAUUUACUUUAGAAAGUCAUCAAAACUGAAGCUUUCUUUCAUGUUGGUUUGAAGGUUCAGUUGGAUAUUUACUUAGAAAAUAGUUUUAACUGAUCAGACUGUUGAAAAAUCAUAUGAUUUUUGCUGGUUCAAUUGGUGAAACAAGCAAGGCAAAAUAUUAUAACUUAUAAUUGCUGUUAAUAUCUAAACUUUCAGAUAUGGUAGUUAUAUUUUUAAACCGGUUGUCUGUAUCUUCCUUUUUAAUUAUUGCAUGCCAUUUAUUAUUAUGUUUGGAUUAGUCCUAUGUGAAUUCCUUUCUGGUUGAAG